GUAGUUAGCCGGGGCUUCCUCCUCAAGUACCGUCAUUAUCUUCCUUGAGGACAGAGUUUUACGACCCGAAGGCCUUCAUCACUCACGCGGCGUUGCUGCAUCAGGCUUUCGCCCAUUGCCCAAUAUUCCCCACUGCUGCCUCCCGUAGGAGUUUGGACCGUUUCUCAGUUCCAAUGUGGCCGGUCAUCCUCUCAGAUCGGCUACCCAUCGUCGACUUGGUGGGCCGUUACCUCACCAACUAUCUAAUGGGACGCGAACUCACCCGUGCGUGGAUUGCUCCUUUUACCCCUGCACCAUGCGGUGCUGUGGUCUUAUGCGGUAUUAGCAACUGUUUCCAGUUGUUAUCCCCCUCGCACGGACAGAUUGUUCACGCGUUACUCACCCGUCCGCCACUAGAAUACCCUCGUAUUGCUACUCGGAUAUCCCCGUUCGACUUGCAUGUGUUAAGCACGCCGCCAGCGUUCGUCCUGAGCCAGAAUCGAACCCUGA
rnacentral:rRNA from 1 species